ensembl:snRNA U6 U6 spliceosomal RNA
AAUCAUUAAAAGUUAUUAGUUGUGUGCUUGGAACAAUACGGAGAAUAUUAACAUGGCUCCUGUGCAAGGAUGACAUGCAAAUUCGAGAAGUGUUCCAUAUUUUU